UUAAUAAAUAAUUAUAAAUGUGUGUGUGUGUGUGUGUGUGCGCGUGUGUGUACCAGUGUUGUGUUCAAGUCCACCUAAAGCGAGACCAAUUCACGACCAAGACAGGUGCAAAUCAAGUCCGAGUCAAGAACAAGGCCAGACAGGGGGCGAGACUGAGUAAAGAACAAGACUAGCCAGGGGUCGAGACCGAGUCAAGAACAAGACCAGACAGGGGGCGAGACCGAGUCAAGAACAAGACCAGACAGGGGGCGAGACCGAGUCAAGAACAAGACCAGCCAGGGGUCGAGACCGAGUCAAGAACAAGACCAGACAGAUGGCGAGACCGAGUCAAGAACAAGACCAGACAGGGGGCGAGACCGAG
ensembl:lncRNA